rnacentral:lncRNA from 1 species
CCAGUUUUUGCACAUCUUCAAGCCACCCUGCGACCUGGUUCGUUCGUCUGGUUCGAGGUCGUUGUUCUUCGACCUCAACCCUGGUCUUCAGAUCGUCCCUUGUUCGAGUCAAUUUGUGCAAUUCAGUCUCCAAGCCCUCAAGAUUUUUUUCGAGACCCCAUAUAUAUUUUGCUUGUUGACCAACGCAGUUUAAAGUUCGAUUAAAAAAGUCUGGUUGUAAGAAAGUUGAGAUUAAGUUACCCAUUGUCGUUCACGAAAAGAGGAAGAGAAGCGAUGGGUACAAUGAAAAGAAUUAUGCUGCUUUGGAGAGGGUUAUAUUUAGAGAAGCACAAUACCGAAAUAAAAAUAUGAUACAUUUGUUGCUUUAUAAUUCAUAUGUCAAAUAUCAAGAAUAUAAUGAUACGCUUACACGUCAUAUAAAAUUUGCAAUUCAACCCAGUAAUCACAUAGUUAAUAUUAAAUCUUAUCAUUUGUUAUCUAAGUGAUAAAUUUAUAUUGAUAAUAUAUUUUUUAGAAUAAAAAUUUUCUACCUUAACUUGGAUGAAGAUUCAAAAUAUUAAGUCAAUGAUAGAUAGAUAAAAAAUAAAAUAAAAUAAAUUUUAACAUUAAUUCCUGGAAUCUGUCACCAUUUUUUUCCCUUAGUAACAACCAUGUUCGCUUGAGAGACCACCACAACAUGAAUAAUUUCUUCUUGGUCGACCAAAUUGGCCUUAAGAGGCUUGUGAUCUCCCUUUCUAUACUUGCAUUUGAUAGCAAAAUGUCCACAAACAUAACAAUUGCCUUUUUAAGGAAUCAAACAAGACUUAAUUAGGCGAUAAACCAGUCUAUUGGCUAGAGCCACUCAAAGUUUGAAUGAAGGUAAUUUUUCUAUCAAGAGAAGAAUUGUAAUCCUUAGAAUAUUUGAGAUGAUUUUGAGUGGUGCCAUAUCAAAAUUGAUAUAUACUAAUUUUGAUAUAUAAUUAUAUGAUUAUAAAUAUAAUGAAUAAUAAUCUAAAAAAAAAUAGGCGAUAAAGUUUAUUACAUCCACGAACAUAAAGGUCACGUUCAAGUAAAUGUGACCGUUGGACGUUGACAGCCCCUAAAAAAGAACCAAAAAAAAUCUAAUUUGAUAAAACGACGUCAGGAUUCGAAAUGGUCACGGGUUAAAAAAUUUAUUGGAAGCAUAAUAUUAACGUGCGCUUGCUUCUUCCAAAACAGCAAGAGACUGAAUGCUGAGCCUCUCUGAAAAAGAAGCUGCGUUCUGUAAGACUGAAACGUUUAGCUGAGACCUUGUGUUAAUUUUUUACAACCCUAAACCCUAAACCCUAAACCACUUGCUCUUAAUUGUCACCCGCAUUACCGUAGGAAUAGGAUUUCUCUCUAUCUCAGUUUUACUAAAUUUUUAAAAAUUUAUUUUUAUGUGUCUUUUAAUUAUAGUAUAUAAAUAAAAUUUUAUUUUUUAAUUUUUUUAAUUUAUUAACUAUCAAUCAUUUUAAAUUAUUUAAUAUGAUCAGAUCAAAAGAAAAUUUUUAUCUUUUAAUUUAACUAUGUCAAUUAAUAUUACAUAUCCUAAUUUUCUUAAAUGAUGCGGCAUUUAUUAAUUAGACACUAAGAUAGCACUAUUAAUUUAUUUAUAUAUUUUAUAAAAAACUAUCAAUCACUUACAUUACAUACUAUAUUCUGAAAAAAAAAUUUGAGUUAUCUAUUAUUAUUUAAAAAGGAGGAGUAAUUUUGGUAUGCUAAGGUUAUUUCACAAACGUAAUAAAGAAAUUUGUGAUGAUGAACACAGUGAUAGGGCAAUUAUUGAAGCAGCAAUGACUUCGUCUGUUGCGCGUGGGAAAUCUAUUAGUAAUAUAAAGGAAAAUAAAAAGUACCCUAUGUCUUUUCAACUAUUAUUAUUUUUCCAAGGCGAACUAGCCAAAUAUGUAUGAUAAAUGUCCCUAAUAUUUUUUCUGUAAAUACAAAGACAAAUUAAAUUCAACUAGAACAAAAGUCUUUCACUGGAACCCAAUAGAUAAAAGACCAAAAUGAUAUCUAGACAUACCUCAUUGUAUAGCAAUGGAAGCUUACAAGUUAAAAUAGUAUUUAUAAUCUUUUGUAACUUUCAAAUUCUGCAUUGGAUUCUGCAACUCAUCAAGAUUAGCUUUUUAGAUCUCAUAUAUAUUUUAGCAUCUCCACGAAGGAAAAAUAAAAUAAAACUGCAAGAAUUGAGUCUGGUGAUAAGAAGCACGCAUGAGAAUGAUGUUACCCAUUUUUGUUAACAAAAAUUUCAAGGAAGAAAAUAAAGUGAGAAAGAAAGAAUUAUGUUUGUGAAAAUGGAAGAGAAGGUAGGAAUUGUAUUAUAAGACUGCAAUGUUAAGUGGCUUGGUUGUGUAGGUGAGACAUUUCAUCGAACUUCUUUACAUUUCCAUCAAACACCUUGUUCUUUAACCGUCUGUGACGUCCUUUAUACCCGUCCAUAGACAUUAAAUUGGCUGAUGUCAAGUGAAUUUGAGACUACAAAUGUGCAGCUCUUGCCUUAAUCUCCUUAGAAUCCUGAAGGGUGAAAACUUAUACCUUAUAGACUUAAGGUACGUUUAGGAUUGAAGUGUUAUAACUUUUAAGCUACAGUUGCUGUAAAAAAAAAAAAUUUAAAUAAUAAUUUUGAUGAAAUUAUUAAUAAUAAUAUAAUAAAUUCUCCAUUAUACAAGUGAAAAAUUAUAUCAACAUAUCUUUCAAGACACAACAAUUAGUAUUUACUAAACACUUUACUACUGUACCUUUUAAGGUACAGGUAUCCAACUUCAAUUCUAAAUGCACUCUCAUAUGUAUACCCUUUAUAUAAGGCUGAUAGAGUAAUGUAAACUAUAUUGUCCUUUUUUUCUUGUGUUAAUUGAAAUAAUUAAAACUCAAAAUUUGUAAGUGAGGCCACUUGAUUGCAGCAAAGGAGAGCAGUGAAGGGAAGAUAAAAUUUUACCGACAUUGAACUUGUUAUUUCUCUCUCUACUAUAUUGUAGUGUUUACUUUUUAGAGUGGGAGUUUGGAGUGUGGAGUGUGGAGUGUGGAUUCCUCCCACUCUCCCACUCUAGUGUUUACUUAUCUUAAAAAAGGGGGAAGUGGGAGUGGGAAUCCGUGGGUCCCACCCAAUUUUGGAGUGGGAAGUGGGAUUCCCACUCCCAUGGGGGGAGGUGGGAGUGGGAAUCCACUCCCCCCUCUUCCCAUUUUAUCCCUAUAAUUAAAUUAAUAAAUAAUAUUUAAUAAAAUAAAUAAUAUCAUAUUUAUUAAAAAUAAUAAUGAUAUCAUAUUUAUUUUAUUAAAUUUAAUAAAAUAAAAAUAAAUAAAUAUUAUAUUUAAAUUAAUAAUAUUAAACAUUAUUAAUUUUAAUAAAUAUUAAUUAAUUAUUUAAUUAAUAAUAAUAAAUAUUUUAUUCUAAAAAAAUAUUAAUUUUGUACUAUAUUAUCAAUAAUAAUAUUUCAUUUGUGUUGUUAUUAUUAAUAAUUUUUAUUCACAUAAUUUAAAUUAAAAUUAAUAAAAAAUUAUGAUUUACAUAAUUAAGAAUAUUAGUAAUUAUUAUUAAUUUAGAAAUAUAAUAAAAUAUUUAUUUUAUUUUCCAAAUAUUUUUUAUUAAUUUUUUAAUUAUAAAUUAUAAUUCUGUACAUAAGGAUAAAAUUGUAAUUUAAAACAAUUUACUCCCAAUCCAAGACAAAGUAAACAAAUAAUUAGGAUUCUGAUUGACAAUCUAUACUUUCACACCCUACUCUACACUCCUAAUCCAAGGAUUCCCACUCCUCAGGAUUCCCACUCCAAUCCAAAAAGUAAACGCAGCAUAUAUAUAUUAGCUUGUUGUUAAUUAUAAUCUUUGCAACCAAAUAAUGUAGAAUAUGUAUACGGGUGCGAAAUUUUCCAUAGGGAAUUCAGUGUUCGAUUUAAACUGCACUUUUAUAGUUUGUUCUCCAUUUACUCCUUACUUUCAGAUCUUUGUGACAAUCACAAUUUUGUCAACCAAAAUAAAGGUCGCAUUCAAGCAAAUUAAAUGUGACCUUUGGACAUUAGCAUCAACCUCUAAAGUGAUAGCAGUAACAAACAGCUCAGCACAAAUAAUUGAGGCCCUGCACUUUCAUUAGAGGAUGGGAGAAGAGAACACUUGAUUUGAUAGCAAGACGCCAAGACCAGGACAGAGACCAAGACGAAGACCGAUGAAAAGCCCUAAACAAACCAAAAAAUAAAAAUAAAAAUGCAGUUAUGAUUAUCGUCGAAUACUUCAAACAUACGACAAGUCCAAGUUUAGCUAAGGCCUAGUGUAUAAAUUUUCUACAAGCUGUUGAAUGAGAAAAUUUGUCUAAUUCUUAAGUCUUACCUGCCAAUCACAUCAUUUUAAAUUUAGUCUGUUGAGUAGAAUUUUACUUUUAUAAUUUUUAUCUCAAAAAUCUAUUUUAAAUUAUAUAAUAUUUAUUAAUUAAAUAAUAAAAUAGCAUAAUUAAUUUAUUUAAAUCCUAUAUUAAAUUAUCAAUCACUAAAUAAAUGACACAUUACAUACUAUAUUAUUUAAAAUAAAAAUUUAAAAUAUUUACCGUUACUUAAAAAAAUUAAUUUCCUUUUCCUAAAGUUAUUUCACAGACGCAAGUACAAAAUUCUGUGAUCAUGCACAAAGUGAUAGGGCAAUUAUUGAAUAAAUAUCUCACCAAAUAUAAUUAUAGCAAAUUAAAUAAAUAUUUACUAUGACUUCAGCAUCUGAGUUCCCACUCUAUAAAUAUGCCAGCAUUUUAAAACAAACAAGACUUAAGCGACAAAUACAAUUUUGUCGACGAGUAAAAAGGUCGCAUUCAAGCCAAAGGAGAAAUUCUUUCCAGUGGGAGGAUUCUAAAACCAAGAAUCCACUGCUGAAAUUUUAUUAACUGAAAAUAGAUAACGAUUGACACACCAGACAACAACAACAAGAUGCAAUUAAAUCUAAUGAAAAUUAAAAAAAGAAAAAAGAAAUACAUAUUCAAACAUAUUAAUGAAAAUCAUCCCCAAGUACGACACCGGAAGAGAAAGCAUUUUGGGUGGCUUGGUCCUCCCAUUGUAGCUCUUCCCACCAUUUUUUCGACCCCUCGAUGACAACUCGACGUUCCUUCGCGCUGCUGGAAUUGAGUGGGAGCUUCUUCAGCUGUCGGCAUUCACGUACUUCAAUUUUCUUCAGCUUUGGAAAGGGCAGGGGAUUCGGGUAAACGCUCUUUAAAUUUCUUCCCCACUUUAUGGUUAGAGAUUCGAGUUGUGCAAAAAAGUUAUGCUCUGACCCGAUUAUCUUCGAAAUAUCUCUCAAUUUAUCAACACUAAUUAUUUCUUCCGUUUCUGUACAAAAGACUAUACGCAGCUGCUUGAGAAUUUGAACAAAAACUAGCCACGUUAAGUCUUUCAUUUUUUUGCAACUCCAUAUGACAACUCUGUCGAGACUGCGGAAACCACUUUGAAAAAGUUUCUUUACCUCUUCUGUGCUGUCAGUCUUCAUCUCUUCCAAAUUACUGUCUGAAAUGCGUAACUCCUGAAGAUUCUCCAUGUAUGCUAGAUGUAAGACAUUGAACGGUGGACUUUCACAUUGGCAAACCAUUACAGAUUGAGUGAUGCUCACCAGCUUUGGAUAUUUCAAAAACUUUUGGACAGCAAGUGAACUUCGGAAGGUCCAGCUUAAAACAUUUAAAUGCUUCAAACCCAGCAAUUCCUUCAUCAAAGGUUCAGCAUCAUCACAUAGAACGUUACCUUCUAUUACGCUCCAGCGACCGCGUGAAAGCAACCUGAGUACCUCCAACUUUGAAAAGCCAGAUAUCAAUUGAUGUGGAAUUAUAGACAAAAACCGUGUAUAGUCCAAGUUCAAAUAUCUCAACUUCUCCAACGCCUUCAGCUCUUGCGGCAACCCAGUUAUGUUAGUCGAUGAUAGAUCAAGAUGAUGUAAUGAAACCAAACCUGAAAUCCCUGAAGGUAGUGUUCUUAGGGGAAAAUUUCCUCUUAGACUUAAUACUCUAAGAGAAGACAUCGAUUGAAAGAAGCCAUCAGUAAUCUCCUCAAUCCGAUUUCCACCCAGAAGUAAAGUUACGAGGCGCGGACACGUGGGAAUUUCCAAUAAGCUCCUAAUUCCAUUUCCCAUCAGAGAUACCCGUUUGGCACCUUCCCAUUCUUCAAACUUUGGUGCUUCGGUCAAUUCAACUCCAGCGCGAACCAGAAAGUUCUGCUCCUCCUUGUCUACCGUGCACGCUAUCCAUAAUGACAUCUCACGAAUCAUAUCGUGCAUCUUUACAUGAUCAUCGCCUUCUUCCUCCAAUAAGCAUGCAUGAAGAAGGUCAUCAAUAAAAUCGCAUCCACCAUCAAAAUCAUAUACAAAUCCUUCACUAAUCCAAUAAUCAAUCAAAUCCCUUUUAGGAAUUUCGUAGUCUUCAGGAUAUAAACAACAAUACAGGAGACAGGAACGAAGUUCGUCCGUAGACAAACUAUCAUAGCUGAACUUUAAACGCGAAAACACCUCUUCUUUCAUACCUGAGAAUUUAGAAGCUGAUGUUCUCAUUUUGUGAAUUGCACGUUUCCAAUCUCCAACUUUCCUUUGGCUUUUCAUGGCUCGACCCACUGUUUUAAGCGCUAGCGGCAACCCACCACACUCUCUUGCCAAGGUUUCGGCUAGCUCUGGAAUACCGGUAUGACUGUCCAGAGUGGAUCUGUCGACCAUCUCCUGAAAUAAUUCCCAGGCUUUAUCAUGCGCCAAACUAUACACUUCCACCUUUUCAGCGUCCAUUUGAUCGCAAACACCAGCUGAACGAGUUGUCAAGACUACUUUGGACCCAUCAUUUAGUUUUUGAAGAGGGACACCCAAUUCUGUUAAAUGAAUGGGUUUCCAUAUAUCAUCCAAUAACAACACAAACUUCCUUCUGCUUAAAAUGCUAGCGAUGUCCACAGCCUUGUCUUGAGGACUUUUUUUCGCCCAGCUUUGGUCUUCUGAAAAGCCAAUCCUUUUUCCAAUGUCAUCUUGAAGUGUUGACGCAGCCGCCCAGAUAACAACAUCAAAAUUAUGCUGUUGAUGGCAGAAGUUGUUGUUGACUUGUUUUAAAAGGGUAGUUUUGCCGACUCCCCCUAUACCAUACAAGCCGAUAAUUCCCCUGUUAUUUUCCUCAUCAGUGAUACAUCUCCAAACUCGAUCAAGUAAUAAUUCUUGACCAACAACUGUGUGCUCAACAGGUAAUUCAAUUGCUGCACCAUCCGGCGCCUUCUCAACAACCACUUCAAUUUUUUCUCCGUCUUUCUUUAAAUUGAUCACUCGAUCCGUCAACUCGACCACCUGAGUCCCGUAAUUGUAGCUUGAAACGAAGUUUUUGGAACAGAGGCCUCCAAGGCACAAUCUAUCGAUUUCAUGAGCUCUAACUCGUUCCAGCUCGGUAAAUUCAGUUUCCAGUUUUUGCACAUCUUCAAGCCACCCUGCGACCUGGUUCGUUCGUCUGGUUCGAGGUCGUUGUUCUUCGACCUCAACCUUGGUCUUCAGAUCGUCCCUUGCUCGAGUCAAUUUGUGCAAUUCAGUCUCCAAGACCCGAAGGUUUUUUUCGAGACCCCAUACAUAAUUUGCUUGUUCACCAACGCAGUUUGAAGUUCGAUCAAAUAAGUCUGCUGGUAAGAAGGUUGAGAUUAGGUUACCCAUUGUCGUUGACGAAAAGAGGAAGAGAAGCAACGAGUACAAUGAAAAGAAUUAAGCUAAUUUUUACUUAAAUUCUUAAGAAUUGCUGUCAAAUGCAAACAGAGUAUGAGAAUCAGGUCUUUAUUGAUUAUGAUGACUUGAAUGAAAAUGAAAUACAGAGCUUUGCUAGUUUACAUACAGAGACAAAAAAUAAUGACAGCUAGCCUAAGGGGUAUUACACGGAAGUAAUCAAAAUUGAUCCGUGAAUAUAGCAAUUGUGAACCAAUCACAUUAAGCUUCUAGAAGAUGCAACUAUUCAAUGCACAUGCGCUGCUAUUCUUCAACAUAACAGUUUUGCCAGCUCAACAAAUCCAACUCACAGAAUCAAGGUCAACCGUUGACUCUUCACAGCUGCUGCUUUCAACAAUUUUUAGAGAACCACAACACCAAAAUAAAAAUAUGAUACAUUUGUUGCUUUAUUCAUUAUGUCAAAUAUCAAGAAUAUAAUGAUACGUUUGCACGUCAUAUAAAAUUUGUAUUUCAACCAAGUAAUCACAUAGUUAAUAUUAAAUCUUAUCAUUUGUUAUCUAAGUGAUAAAUUUAUAUUGACAAUAUAUUAUUUAGAAUAAAAAUUUUCUACCUUAGGUUUGGAUGAAGAUCCAAAAUAUUAAGUCAAUGAUAGAUAGAUAAAAAAUAAAAUAAAAUAAAUUUUAACAUUAAUUUUUUAUUUAAUAAAAAGUAAAUUCAAUACAGAAUUCUAAUCCCUUAAUCUCUCUCCAUCCACGGCAAAAGAAAGCAGCAACUCAACUCUCUUUAAAGGCUAUGGAGGUUCUCUUGCGACCUCUCUUCAGCAUACCCUCCAGAACAUUAACCCCACCACCGCCAUCACCACCCUGUUAAACACGUUUUCAAAACGUGUAUAAUGUGGCCAUCUAAUUUAUUUUUAAUUAUUAGUUUUCUAAUUUAAAUUGAUAUUUAUCUUUAUUUAGUUUACUUUUAAAACGUUGGGUUUGGUUUAAAAUUUGAAUAAAGAUAAAACAUCUCUUCCUAAUAUCUCUCAUACACGUUACGGGUGGUUUACUAAAAUCAAGGGGAUAACGGCUCAUAACUUCCUCUUUUAUUUAAACUUGUCAUCUUGAUGGGAGAUGUUUUACGGUCACGUUUUUUCAAGAAAAAUAUUGAGGGUCCCUGGUCUAACAACAGAGCCUGUGUAUACCAUCUACUCUCAGGAAUUAAGUGUUGGAUAGACUAGAAAAUUCUGAGUACAAAGCAUGGCUUGUUUUCGUUGGUUUUGUUUGCAUUCCAGUAGAAAGGUUGUGUACAAUUGAAUUUGAUAACUAUGGCAGGAGGUAAGUUUUCUAACUUGUGCAUGAUGAAUAUAGUCUUUUACACCCCACCAAUCAUCUCACUCUCAAAACUCUCCAUUUUUGCCUCCAUUAAUUCCCACUCUCUCCAAAACCCUGAUUUCUUCCUCUUCUCGUUUCCUCUCGCCCGCCCCUGGUACGCCAAUUUCCAUUCUCUCGCUCUUUUUUUUGGCAAUUUUGGCUUGAGUUUUUUGGGUUUUUGGUAAUUUAUCUUUAAUUUUUGUGGGUAUCCUUCGUUUUUUUAGUUAUCAUACAUGAGUUGAGUAGUCGUAGACGAUUUUUUAUUGUUUUAAACUGAACGGAUUCUUUGUAUUUCGAAAAUGAAAUUCAUUGUUUGUGAAGUAACUUUUAAAGCUGUUGAGUUGAGUUUGAAAACUUAAUGUGCUUAAAUUUAUCUAUGUGGAUUUGAAUCAGUUAGACAAGCAGCACAGGAGAGCCAAUCGAGCGCGGAGGUGAAUGCCGAUAGAAGAGAAUGGUUUAUGCAAGGUACAUUAAUAGUAAUUUGAUCUGAUGCCAAUUUUAUUUCUAUAUUAAUUUAUUAGAUUAUGUAAUGUUAUAAAUUCUUUGUUCAAAAUGUAGAGCUUGGAAAUUUAGUCGGUACAUUAUGGUAAUGAAUGUAGCUUGUGUAUCUGUUCAAAUUUAUGUCUAGCUUUGCUGUUUUGGUAAUGGUUUGUUUAGUAUAAAUUUUGUGUUGGUUAUGAUGUUGUUUAGUGGUUUGGAUCACUCGUGCUCUUUUGGCCCCCACUAAAAUUAAUUUUUCAUCAAAGGAUAUGAAUAGUUGUUCGAUGGAAACUUAAUGGAAGAUGUGGGAGCAUCUUUAUGAGUUAAGAUUCCCUGUAGCGAGUAUAUCCUUUGGUGCAUGAGAGUUUAAGUGAUUAUCGUCAUUGUUGAGUUAAACAAUGGGAUUAAUUUUCAUGUUCAUGUAAGGUGAUCAUCGCUAAAGUUAGAGCCAUUAGGUGAUAAAUUGAUACUUCAUUGUGUUGUUAUGUUUGUUAUACUGGAUAAAAAUCCCAGUGAUAGAAUUCAUGUUAGGCGGUUUUGGGUCCUAUUCAAUCCCAAAAGAUGAAUAAGGGGUGAGGCUUUCCCUCACAAUUGUAAAAUCACCACCAUCCUAGUUCACAACCGAUAUAAGACAACCCAACAAUCUCUCCCGCACAUAUUGGGCCUUGGUUCAAAAGCAUGGACACUCGUUUUCACUAGUAGGCUGUUGGACUGAGAUGUUGGUGAAUCUUUUAGUUGAUUUUUUUUUUUUUAUAAAAAGGAAAAGAUUAUGAAGAGAUAAAUACAAUAAAGAAAAAAAGAGAUCAAUAUUGCAAUAAAACAUUUAUGUAGUGAUAUUUUAUAUAAGAAUAAUUUCAUAUAGCUAUAAAAGUAAUGGUCCUAAUUUAUAUUAGGCCAAUUAUAAAUAAGAAUAAAUUUCAUGCUGUAAUAAUUUAUAAUUUUGCUAAAUCUCACCUUAAGGAGCUCACCUCCACGUAGUGUAAAUAUAUAUAUAGAAAAAAAAAAUAUGUUAUAUUACAUUAAGUGAACUUGGGGGUUGUUUGGUACCCCUCUUUACCUGGGAUUGCAUUGUGUUAGCAAUGCAACCCCAUGUUUGGGGUACCAAAUGGCUAUAUUAGCUAAACUCGACAUAUAGUCGGGUUUAGCUAAUGCGUCCAGUUACCGCAUUAGCUUUAGCUUCCUCUUUUUUUUUUUUUUUAUACUUUGUAAUAAUGAUAAAUGAAUAUAAUUUUUAAUUUAAUAUUAUAUAAUAUUAUUUUUACUUUAUAAUUUUAAUAUAAAUUAAUAAAUUUAUUGUUUAAUAAUAUUAUAUUAUAUUUUAAUUUUUAUCAUAGUAAAUGUACAACUAAAAAAUGUAUUAUUUAAUUAUAUUACAUUAAUUAAUAUGUAAAAUUAUAUUAAUUAAUAUAUAUAAUUGAUUAAUUUUUAAUAAGUUAAUAUAACUAAUAAUAAAUACUUAAAUAAUAUAAUAUAAUAUAAUAUUAUUUAAUUUAUUAAAAUAAUUAAACUAGUUAUUUUUAAAUAAUUUAAUAUAACUAAUAAUAAAUAUUUAAAUAUGAAUAAAUUUGAAUAAUAUUAAUUAAAAAUUAAUAAAAUAUAUAAUUAUUAGAUUGUUUAGCACAAUUCAUUUUUUAGCACAAUUCAUUAGUAUUUUCUAAAUAUAUAAUUUAAAUUAGUCACAAAAAAUUAAUACAAUAUAGUGCAAUAUCAAAUAUAAUAUAAUUAAAAAUUAAAUAUAAUACAGUAUAGUACCAAACAUUAUACAACAUUAUUAUAAUACAUUACUAAUACAACACAACAUAAUGCAAUACACCUGCAUUAAAAUAAUGCAAUACAAUAUAAUAUAAUACAGCGUGCCAAACGCACUCUUGUAUCCAUAUAGUACAAAAACAACAUAAGAGAAAAAUGUUAAAGAGAACACAAAAGUUCAGAGACUUUUAAGAUAAUGUUUUAUAUUUGUAACAAGCAUGUGCUAACUUUUUUGAAACCAUGUAUAUUUAUUUUUUCCCUAAGUUACAUGCAUGUAACUUAGCAUUAGCCUCAUUUUAUUAUUAUCUAUACAUUGGAUUUGACAUGUUUCAUUAAUAAUUUAUUACUACAUCUCUAUUAAAAUAAUUGAGGUCCUGCACUUUCAUUGGAAGAUAGGAGAAAAAAAUAAUUGAUAAGAGAAGAAAACAAUUUAAAAUAAAAUUUUAAAAUAUUUAUCAUUACUUAAAAAAAUUAAUUUUCUUUUCCUAAAGUUAUUCCACAGACGGUAGUACAAAAUUAUGUGAUCACGCACGCACACAGUGAUAGGGUAAUUAUUGAAACAAAAAUGAAAUUUGUCUGUUUUCCAUUUGAAAUCUAUUACUAAUAUAAAGGAAAAGAAAAAUCUUUAAUUACUUUUUUUUUUUUUCAUGUAGGGCAAGGCAAACAUCACUAUCUUGUUAAAUUAAUAUUUAAAAUUAUCCCACCAAAUGUAAUUAUAACAAAUUAAAUAAAUAUUUACUAUGAGUUCAGCAUCUGGGUUCCCACUCCAUAAAUAUGCCAGCAUUUUAAAACAAACAAGACUUAGAGUGUGUUUGGGAUUGAGGUGCUGUAGCUUUUAAGCUACAGCUGCUGUGAAAAAAAAACUGUAAUUAUGAAACAAAAUUUAAUAAUAUAUAGUAAAUAUAAAUUUUAAAUAAUAAUUUUGAUAAAAAUAUUAAAGAUAUAAUAAAUUUUAUAUUAUACAAGUGAAAAAUCAUAUUAACAUAGCUUAAAAGCUACAGCAGCUAGUGUUUACCAAACACUACAGCUGCCCAACCUCAAUCCCAAACGCACUCUUAAGCGACAAAUACAAUUUUGUCAAUGAGUAUAAAGGUCGCAUUAUAAGCCAAAGGAGAGCAGUUAAGGGAAGAUAAAAUAUUAUUGUAUUGAACUGGUUAUUUCUCUCUAGGGGUGGCAAAAAAGUCUGGGCUGGUCUAGGCCCGCGGGCCUAAAGCCCGGCCCGUAAGGGUGGGCCCAGAUAUUGGCCUAAAAAUUACAAAGCCCACAUAUGUGGGAUCUGGACAAGGGCUUAGCAAAAAAGCCCGGACUUGGCCCAGGCUUUUUAAAUUUAUGAAUAAAAAAUAAAUUUAAUUUAAAUAAAAAAAGAAAAAACUCAAAAUAUUAAAUUAGUUUAAUUUUUUAUAUUAGUAUUUGUUAUUUUAUUAGGUUGUAUUAUUAAUAUUUUAUGUAUUGGACUAUUAUUCUAUUUUAUAUAUUAGAUGAUUAUCUUUAAUUUAAAUUUUUUCUUAAUUUAAAAAAUAUUUUAUAAUUAAUUUAAAAAGCCCAAGCCCGGCCCAGGCCCGGCCCGAGUUCGGUCCGUCCAAAUUUAAACGGGUUUUUGAAGGGCCUGGACUUCGUUUGAAUGAUGUGGGCUUGGGCCUGGGCUUUGAAAAGCCCGGCCCAAACCCGCAAAUUGCCAUCCCUAUUUCUCUCUCUUCUAUUAUUAAUUUGUUGUUAAUUAUAACCUUUGCGGGAUUUAAAAAAAAGAAAAAGGCCCUUGCGUUUUCAUCAACAUUACACUGCCAAAUGUGAAAUGGAUUGAGAACCACAUGUCCUUAUUAUGCUGCCACUCCACAAAUGUUUAUUUUCCCCUCAUUCUCCUUAGAAGCCAGAGGCAGAGUCAGUCCUGCACCCCUUUACGUAUGCCUUCUCCAUAAAUUAACAUAAACGAUUAGUAUUAGAGCUGGCAAAAUGGGUCAUCGGGUCGUGUUUGUAUUGUGUCAGCUUCGUGUCGUGUCAAAUUUAGGUCGACCCAUACUCGACCCAUUUAAUAAUCGUGUCAAAAUAUUGAGACACAAACCCGACACGGAAAAAUAAUCAGGUUAUCCAAUAACCCGCUAUCUAUAUAUUAAACAAAAGUUACAUCAAAUAUUUACACAUUUUCAUACAUACGUAUGCGCAUACAUACAUACAUAAUUUAUUGAUAUUAUAAAAUAUACAUAUCUACUAAAAUAUUAGACACACUAUUGAGGUUUUAAUUAUAUAUGUGUAAAUAAUAUUAUAUAUCAAUAUUAUAAAAUAUAUAUGUCUACGAAUAUUUUAUACAUUUAUACUAGCUCUAAAUGUAUUUAAAAAUUCAUAAAUAAAAUAUUAUGUCUAUAUUCAUCCUUUUAAAGAAUUAAAAAAAAUCAUCUCUAAUAUUUGAGUUUUGGUGACAAGAAUUUACAAAUUAUUUUAAAAUAGAAAAUAUAAUCGGGUCAUUGAUCGGGUAAAUGGGUCAAGAAUUUUAACUCUAACCCGACACGAAAAAAAAUCGUGUUGACCCGGACCCGACCCAUUUAAUAAUCGUGUUAAAUUCAACGACUCAUACCCAUUUAUUAGUGUUGUGUUCGUAUUGGGUAAUCGGGCCGUGUCAAAUUUUGCCAUAUCUAAUUAGUAUAAGAUGAUUUAACCACACAAUAUGUCAAAUUUACAUUUUGCAAUCAUUGAUACUUGGUGCUACAGUCAAAUUUAUAUUUAUUCAAGGUAGCGGGUUCAAUAAUUAAAUUCACAUAAAAAGAAAGAUGCAUUCACCCUUAAUGGCCCAGGAGCCAACCAAAUUCCGCGUCCGCGAAGUGAGGCACUUUUCUUAAAGUUAUUUCACAGACGGAAGAACAAAAUUCUGUGAUCACGCACAAAGUGAUAGGGCAAUUAUUGAAACAUAAAUAAUGUCUAUUUCCCAUCCGAAAUCUGUUCUAAUAUAAAGGACAAGAAAAAGUUUUAAUUAUUAUUAUUAUUAUUUUUCACGUAGGGCAAGGCAAACAUCACUAUCUUGUUAAAUUAACAUUUAACAUUGUCCCACCAAAUAUAAUUAUAACCAAUUAAAUAAAUAUUUACUAUGAGUUCAGCAUCUGAGUUCCCACUCCAUAAAUAUGCCAGUAUUUUAAAACAAACAAGACUUAAGCGACAAAUACAAUUUUGUCACCGAGUGUAAAGGUCGCAUUUUAAGCCAAAGGAGAGCAGUUAAAAGGAAGAUAAAAUAUUACCGUAUUUCUCUCUCUUCUAUUAUUAGUUUGUUGUUAAUUAUAACCCUUUUCGGGAUUAAAAAAAGAAAAGAAAAAGGCCUUUGCGUUUUCUAUUAGCAUGUGUACAUGUUUAUUUUCUGUGUUAGUAGUGCAGAGUAUAUACUGAACACACUGGACAAAAAGGGUAAUUUGUAAUCAAUUUAGUUUUAUAAACAUUAAUCUCGGAAGUAGUUACUGAACUUCAUGUGGAAAAAAAAAUAAAAAAAGAUAGUCGCUGAGCAAUAAAUCUACAAGUCAUCAAAAUCGAGCAAUUCUAUGGCAAGAAUUCUUUCCAGUGGGAGGAUUCUAAAACCAAGAAUCCACUGCUGAAAUUUUAUUCACUGAAAAUAGGGAACGAUUGACACACCAGACAACAAGAACAAGAUGCAAUUAAAUCUAAUGAAAAUUAAAAAAAGAAAAAAGAAAUACAUAUUCAAACAUAUUAAUGAAAAUCAUCCCCAAGUACGACACCGGAAGAGAAAGCAUUUUGGGUGGCUUGAUCCUCCCAUUGUAGCUCUUCCCACCAUUCUUUCUCUCCCUCGAUGACAACUCGACGUUCCUUCACGCUGCUGGAAUUGACUGGGAGCUUCUUCAGCUGUGGGCAUCCACGUACUUGAAUUUUCUUCAGCUUUGGAAGGGGCAGGGGAUUCGGGUAAACGCUCUUUAAAUUUCUUCCCCACUUUAUGGUUAGAGAUUCGAGUUGUGCAAAAAAGUUAUGCUCUGACCCGAUUAUCUCCGAAAUAUCUCUCAAUUUAUCAACACUAAUUAUUUCUUCCAUUUCUGUACAAAAGACUAUACGCAGCUGCUUGAGAAUUUGAACAAAAACUAGCCACGUUAAGUCUUUCAUUUUUUUGCAACUGCUUAUGACAACUCUGUCGAGACUGCGGAAACCACUUUGAAAAAGCUUCUUCACCUCUUCUGUGCUGUCAAUCUUCAUCUCUUCCAAGUUAAUGUCUUCAAGAUCUAACUCCUGAAGAUUCUCCAUGUAUGCGAGAUGUAAGAGAUUGAACGGUGCACUUUUACAAUGGUAAACCAAUACAAAUUGAGUGAUGCUCACCAGCUUUGGAUAUUUCAAAAACUUUUGGACAGCAAGUGAACUUCCGAAGGACCAGCUUAAAACAUUUAAAUGCUUCAAACCCAGCAAUUCCUUCAUCAAAGGUUCAGCACCAUCACAUAGAACGUUACCUUCUUUCCCUUUUAUUACCGAAAGCGACCGCACCCACGCAACCUGAGUACCUCCAACUUUGAAAAGCCAGAUAUCAAUUCAUGUGGAAUUAUAGACAAAUGAAAUGCAUAGUCCAAGUUCAAAUAUCUCAGCUUCUCCAAUGCCUUCAGCUCUUGCGGCAACCCAGUUAUGUCAGUCGAUGAAAGAUCAAGAUGAUGUAAUGAAACCAAACUUGAAAUCCCUGAAGGUAGUUUACUUAGGGAAAGAUUUAUUCGUAGACUUAAUACUCUAAGAGAAGACAUCGAUUGAAAGAAGCCAUCAGUAAUCUCCUCAAUCCAAUUUCCAUCCAGAAGUAAAGUGACGAGACGUGGACACGUGGGAAUUUCCGAUAGGCUUUGAAUUCUAGUUUUCAUCAGAGAUAUCCGUUUGGCACCUUCCCAUUCUUCAACCUUUGGUGCUUCGGUCAGUUUAACUCCAGCGUGAACCAGAAAGUUCUGCUCCUCCUUGUCUACCGUGCACGCUAUCCAUAAUGACAUCUCACGAAUCAUAUCGUGCAUCUUUACAUGAUCAUCGCCUUCUUCCUCCAAUAAGCAUGCUUGAAGAAGGUCAUCAAUAAAAUCGCAUCCAUCAUCAAAAUCACACACAAAUCCUUCACUAAUCCAGUAAUCAAUCAAUUCCCUUCUAGGAAUUUCGUAGUCUUCAGGGUACAAACAACAAUACAGGAGACAGGAACGAAGUUCGUCCGUAGACAAACUAUCAUAGCUGAACUUUAAACGCGAAAACACCUCUUCUUUCAUACCUGAGCAUUUAGAAGCUGAUGUUCUCAUUUUGUGAAUUGCACGUUUCCAAUCUCCAACUUUCCUUUGGCUUUUCAUCGCUCGACCCACUGUUUUAAGCGCUAGCGGCAACCCACCACACUCUCUUGCCAAGGUUUCGGCUAGCUCUGGAAUACUGGUAUGACUGUCAAGAGUGGAUCUUUCGACCAUCUCCUGAAAUAAUUCCCAGGCUUUAUCAUGCGCCAAACUAUACACUUCCACCUUUUCAGCGUCCAUUUGAUCGCAAACACCAGCUGAACGAGUUGUCAAGACUACUUUGGACCCAUCAUUUAGUUUUUGAAGAGGGACACCCAAUUGUGUUAAAUCAAUGCGUUCCCAUAUAUCAUCCAAUAACAACACAAACUUCUUUCCGCUUAAAAUUCUAGCGAUGUCCGCAGCCUUGUCUCGAGGACUUUUUUUCUCCCACCUUUGGUCUUCUGAAAAGCCAAUCCUUUUUCCAAUGUCAUCUUGAAGUGUUGACGCAACCGCCCAGAUAACAACAUCAAAAUUAUGCUGUUGAUGGCAGAAGUUGUUGUUGACUUGUUUUAAAAGGGUAGUUUUGCCGGCUCCCCCUAUACCAUACAAGCCGAUAAUUCCCCUGUUCUUUUCCUGAUCAGUGAUACAUCUCCAAACUUGAUCAAGUAAUAGUUCUUGACCAACAACUGUGUGAUCAAGAGGUAAUUCAAUUGCUGCACCAUCUGGCGCCUUCUCAACAACGACUUCAAUUUUUUCUCCGUCUUUCUUUAAAUUGAUCACUCGAUCCGUCAACUCGACCACCUGAGUCCCGUAAUUGUAGCUUGAAACGAAGUUUUUGGAACAGAGGCCUCCAAGGCACAAUCUAUCCAUUUCUUGAGCUCUAACUCGUUCCAGCUCGGUAAAUUCAGUUUCCAGAUUUUGCACAUCUUCAAGCCACCCUGCGACCUGGUUCGUUCGUCUGGUUCGAGGUCGUUGUUCUUCGACCUCAACCUUGGUCUUCAGAUCGUCCCUUGCUCGAGUCAAUUUGUGCAAUUCAGUCUCCAAGACCCGAAGAUUUUUUUCGAGACCCCAUACAUAUUUUGCUUGUUCACCAACGCAGUUUGAAGUUCGAUCAAAUAAGUCUGCUGGUAAGAAGGUUGAGAUUAAGUUACCCAUUGUCGUUGACGAAAAGAGGAAGAGAAGCAAUGAGUACAAUGAAAAGAAUUAUGCUGCUUUGGAGAGGGUUAUAUUUGGAGAAGCACAAUACCGAAAUAAAAAUAUGAUACAUUUGUUGCUUUAUAAUUCAUAUGUCAAAUAUCGCGAACAUAAUGAUACGUUUACACGUCAUAUAAAAUUUGUAAUUCAUUUCAGUAAUGACAGAAUUAAUAUUAAAUCUUAUCAUUUAUUAUUUAAGUGAUAAAUUUAUAUUGAGAAUAUUUAUUUAGAAUAAAAAUUUUGUGCCUUUACUUUGGAUGAAGAUUCAAAAUAUUAAGUCAAUGAUAGCUAGAUAAAAAAAUAAAAUAAAAUAAAAUAAAUUUUAACAUAAAUUUUUUAUUUAAUAAAAAAUAAAUUCAAUAUAAAAUUCUAAUCCCUUAGAUUUACAAGUGCAAUCAUUGAUGAUGUAAAGAAUUAUUAUUUUUUUGGUUAAAAUACUAAGAUAUGGACAGUCAAUCAUUAGCCAUAUGGAUUCAAUUUCUUGAUCGACCAAAAACCUUGUUUCGACUGAAAUCUAUACGUGCAAGUGAACAUAAAUGAACAAGCUUUCAUCUGGAUUUACAGAGUGUGAAGUAAAUGGUGCGCGGUUGGAGGGGGGGGGAGCUUAAAUGGCAUGUUUUAUUCAAACGAUGCUGCAACUGCAGUUCUUAGUAGUUGGAUUCAGAAAACUAAGCUUCGAUAUCAUGACAUAACAAAAGAUGCAAUAAAAAUUGCACGGACAUAAUAGUUGUCAUGCUUCCAUAACAACGUUACCAAGUCGGUAAAAGCUAGGAAUAACAAAACACAUAAAAGUAGUUUCAUAUUAGAGAAUAUCUGAAUUUCCUGGUUGGUGGAGUUUCUUUGAUGAUCUUGUUCGAAAGCUAAUACCAUUCAACUCUAAAAUGUACCUCAAAGUAUCAAUCAUCUCAAUUAACUAGCCACAAAGUUUCCUUAGCUUGCCACAGUUCAGUUGUAGCAAACUACCAAAGCCCAUUUGACAAGCAGCCACUCUUUGUUCAUCUGUCAGCUGUGAAAGUGCCACCGCUAAUCUAUCUGGAGUCCAUCUGGUUAAGAACUUUGCCUUUGCGACUGCUGACUUCACUAUUCGUUCGCAUUGACUUUGUAUUGACAUUUUUUACCCGGCGGUAAAUUCUUAAACAUGGAUUCAAUUUCCGUCCAGUACACAAUCAUGGCAAAUAAACUAACUACGCCUUCACUACUUGAAAAUACAAAUUUAUUUUAUUUGUAACGCAAGUCAUUCCAUCGCUUGCCUUAACCUCACGCACGGCUUCACCGCUGCAAUAUCAUCAUAUGACUGCGAAAUUAUAUAUCUCUAUAAUUUUGUGAUGCAUAUGCAUUUUGCUUUUCAUGCCCUUGCAUUACUGAGCUGAUUUAUAUUCUCUGCUUGCAGUUUCAUUCACUAAUAUCCUUUAAUUGUUGUCAACGUCUUCUGGUCUAUAUUUGAUGAGCAUAGUAAAUACCUACUUUUGAUGCUCCAUAUACAAGUAUUAUCAGUCUGUUGCAAAUAGAUGUUUAUCACUAAUGUUGAAAUCGUAAAAUUUUAGACAUACUAGAACCUAAAAUCAAUGAUCCAAAGAGCCAUCGCCGUUUUUUGGAGCAGUUCUUGCAAUAGAUUCCCACUGUGGUUUUGAUUAAUUUGGUCAUGAUGCUUGUGUGCAGUGAUACUGGUAGGAAAGUUGAUGAUCCUGAGGUGCUUGAGGCAAUUCGUUUGACAGUUAUAAACAAUCUACUUCAGUAUCACCCAGUAAUCAUUUUUUUGUCUCUCUUGAGAUAUAACUUGGUGGAGCACCUGUAGGAAUUGUCUUAUUGAAAAGCUUAUUCCAUUUGUGUUGGUGUUGGAAUCAGGAAUCAAGUUCCCAGUUUGCAAUGGGUGUUGCCUUUGGCGUUGAUCCUCCAAAACAACAGGUUUUUGCUUUCUGGUCUUAUUUUGAUUUUUCAGAUUAUUGAUAUUUUUGGCUCUUCUCAGUAGUGGAUCAUUUGAAUAGGAAACUAAGUUGUUUUUAGAGUUCUCUUAGGCCAAAUAUUACUUCACUUUUAUCCUCAUUUUAUUUAAAGACAUUAUAUUCAAUUUGCCUGCCAUUGAAAUUAAUAUCAUGUUGUCAUGAAUGUUAAAAACUAUGCAUAUGAGUUAUUAUGGGAAGGAUAAUGUCCCACUUCAAUCUUGUCUCAAAUCUUGUUGUGCUGGAAUUUGUCAGGUUGAUGUGGACAUAGCAACCCACAUAAGCAUCUAUGAUGAUGGCCCCAACCGAAGGUAAUGCAUAAUUCAUUCUCUUAUCUAGAUGAUGGGGCUUUUGCUAUCCACCAAACUUUGGUCCCACACUAUUACUACUCAUACUCCAGCCCAAGUGGCAAUUUCCUGCCCAUAACUGAAGUAGUCAGAUAAUUUGGCCCUUACUAUUUUUGUUUAUUUUACCUUUUGUUUUAUUGAAGUUUGCUUUUGGUGGAGACGGCUGAUCGACCUGGAUUAUUGGUGGAUCUUGUAAAGAUUUUUACUGUCAUCAAUGUCAAUGUUGAAUCGGGAGAGUUUGAUACUGAGGUAGUGAGGUAAUCUUUUAUAACAAACUCUAUAUAUAUAUAUAUUGACAAAAGAGUGGCCUUCCCUUAUAAAUAUAUUUUGUUCUAAUUUUUGUUUUCGCACCCAGGAGUUGUUGGCUAAGGCAAAGUUUCAUGUCAGCUACAAGGGUGAAGCCAUUAUCAAGCCUCUCCAACAGGUAAAAACAACAGGCCUACAUAUAGGACAUCGGAAAUUGCUUUAUAGAUUGUUUGCUCUGAAGAAUAAAGAGACUUACCAUUUCUACUCAAAAUCGGUAUUCUAGUUGCAAAACUGUUCUUAUAUAAAAGAUUUGAAUUUAAACUUUGAAGUGGGCGGUAAGAACAUUAACGUGCUAAUGAUCACACGGUGCACCUGAAGGCUUGGACGAUCGUUGAUGUACUGAUUAGACUUUGCUUGAUCAAAUUUGCAGGUUCUUGCUAACAGUUUGCGAUAUUUCUUGAGGCGACCAACAACCGAGGAGGCAAGUUUUUGAGCUCUUGUUGAAGACUCCACCAACCAAAUUCAGGAUUACACACACUUGAUGAAUUUUUUUAUUUCUCUCCCCAGUAAACAUUCACAAGGGGAAUUACAAUAUGUUGUCUCCCUAAUCUCCUUACAUAAAAUAAAUAAAACAUGAGAUAUAUAUAAACGGACAACAUUUUAAUGAUAUAUCAUAUGGUAAACACUUAUAAAAUAGAAACCUUGCUAAUUUUAUCAUCCUCAUCAAUUCAUAGUCCUUUUUAAAUAAUUUUCAAGUUUAGGGAUAUGAUAUAGCUGUGUUGUAUUACUCAUAUUAAUCUUAAGCCUAAAGUUUGCAAUGGGUUGAUGAGCAUACAACCUUUUUCUAUUCAUGGAUUAAAAUAAUAAUAAUAUUAUUAUUAUUAGUUUUUUUUUUUUUUAUGUGAACCUUAGUUUACAUCCUAAAUUUUCCUAUAUCAACAUUUCAUUCCAGUACGCAAACAAGAUACAUCACUAUGGUUUCUUUAAUUUCAUUCUGUUUUCAUGCUUUGAAAAUUAGCGUCAUGACAUUGAUUCAGCAACUUUCACAAAACAGAAACAUAAAGGAGAUUUUUACCAUGUGGCUUUGGUGCAUUGGUCAUCAAAAUCUGCACAAUUAAUUAUAAAGAAUAUACGAUGUUUGCGCGUGCAAUUAUGAACGACUCAUCUUAUAUCAACUUAAGGGCAAAAUUAUUUUAAAAUCUCUUUGUAUAUAUGUUACAAUGUCAUUAAUUUUUUUUGUCAAUGGUCAUAGUUUAUUUAAUUGGCUACCAUUUUUAAGUUUCUUAUGACAGUUAACGGGUGAGGUAAAUCGAACACUUAAUUUUUUUAUAUUUAUAUCGUCAAUGGUGGAUUCAAGAAAAUAAUUUAUCGAUGACUAAAUUAUAUGACGACACGAUUCGAAAACUCAAAUUUUAUAGGUUUAAUAAAAACUAAAUUAAAUAAUAGUAAACCACCUAUAUGGGUUACCUCAUAACUUUUUAUAUUUUAAUUAAAGUGUGGUUUUUGUAAUUCUCAAAAUUAAAAUUUUAUAAAUUUUGAAUUUAUAAGACUAUUUUUAUAAAUUUAACUUGCCUAUUUUAAUAUAUUCAACAGAAUUAAUUAAUAACUCAAAUAUUUUUUUUAAUUAUUCUCUCUGUCCCACUAAUCAUGAGGUGAAUCCACCUCUAUAUCUCAUUUUAUAUUGUGUAAUCUCGUUAUGACUAAAAAGUACCUCCCUUAGAUUCAACUACUUAUCUAGGGAAAGUUUUUAAAAGCUGAGUCCACAAGCCAUGUCCCAUAACUUAGAUGACUGAAAAACAAAAACAAAACAAAAGGGAACAAAAGAAGGCCAUGCGGCCCAUGCUCUGCAAUGAGUGCUCCCUAAUGAUCAAGAAAGAGUAUUAUAAUUUAAUAUUUAUCCAAACAGAAAAUGACGUACACGGGAACAAUAAAUGAUCUCCCUAGAGAUGAGAGAAAUGGAUAACAAUAUUCUCUUAUUUAACUUCACUAUAUAAAGAGCUCUCUAUCAAAAUCAUAAUUCAAUUCAUUCCACCCACAUUGUUUGGAAAGAGAGAAAGUGAGAGAAAAAAGAAGGAAAAUAUGACAGGAUCAUUUGCUAGAGGAGCUCCCACCUUUAACUCCAUGUUUUUCAAGUAAUGUUUUCAUUAUCUAUCUACUUUGCUAUUUCAUCAUUUCAUUUUGACAAUCGCACUUCAUUAUUGCAUGGUAUGUUUGUAAAUAAAUGUUUUCACUUUAUCUAAAUUAAUUUUGUUAUGAAACAGUUCGUUCGAAAUAGGCCUAAUAGUUUCAAAUUAUUUAUUUACUAAUUAUGAGUGGUUGGUUAAGUACAUAGAAUUAAAUGUUUUAUUAACUGAACCAAUAUGUCUCCACAGGGGCCUCAGGUUAAAAAAAAUUAUCAAGAAAUAUGAAAGUCUUCAAUUAAAUUUGUCUCUGUGUCUGAUAAUUUUAUUUUGUAGCCCCCAUAUGUUUAUAUUCUUGUGGUAUAACCUACUUAAAAUUUGUUGUUUCUGUAUGAUUGAUGACAUCCAAAAUCCUGAUUUCGCCACUGUCCACGCAAUAAUAAAAAGAGAUUGCUUUCAUUCAUUUGAGUGUUUGAAUAUUUUACUCUUUGUUUUUGCAUUAUUAAUUUGUUGAGUCUUUUUGAAACAUAUAGGCCAAUGAUGAGGAAAUCCUUUCAAAAGAAAACAAGUUCUUAUGAUAUGAUGAGAGAAACAACAUUGAAAUCCAAUGCAGAAGAAGGAAAUGUGAUGAGGAGCCAACAGUUGAAUAAUAAUGUGGGAGAAAAUGAAGGGAAUUGUGGUUGGGUUCCUCAUGAAAGAACUGGGAUUUAUUACCCAAAAGGCCAUGAAAAAGUUAUUGACGAUGUUCCUCCUAGCGCUGGAAGAGAUUUUGAAGUUAAUUGGUUCUCAGAAACUCAUGGAUAAUUUAUGGAUAUGUUUUUUUUUUUUCAAAUUACUACACAUGCUUAAAGCGAAAAGGCUUUCUAUUGUCUCAAAGCAAAAUCCGAUUGUGAAAAAAAAAAUUAAAAUAAAAUAACAAUAAUGGAAAAUGAAAUCAUUUAGAUUCAGCUCAAUGCUAAGCAUUCCAAAAUUUAAGUUUCAAAAGAUAUGACAAUCAUUUAUUAGAUGGUGGUUAAAUAAUUUUACAAGUUAUGAAAUCUAUCGUCUAAUAAAUGAAUAACGUGUGACUUUUAAGACUUAAGAAGUUAAGACUAAAAAAUUAGGAUCUUAAUAUUAUUCUUACUUUUAUAUCAUCUUUUUAUUUAGGUCUAUUGUUUAUUGUCGUCUGAUUCUUCAAGCUAAAUGUACAAAACUACAAAUGGAUUAGGUGGGCCUCGCAUGGGCUUAAUUUUUUGUUAUGGCUCAUGAGUGGUCCUAUUGGUACCCCUAAAAAACCUUCUCAAACCCUUCUUUUAUAAUCAUGCAUUUGUCCCUAUUUAAAUUUACAAUGAUAAACAGAAGAAAUUAAAUUUUAUUCAAAUAACUAGUCUCCAUAAUUACAAUCAUGUGAAACCAAAACUCGACUUAACAAUUUAUUAUUUAUUUUGACGAUAUUUAGUUGACAUUCCUUGUUUAUCAAAGCACAAUGUAUUUUCUUAAAUUUUGAUAAAAUUUUAAUUAUUUUGUUAUUAUUAUUUAAGAUGAAACCUUAAAAUAUCAAUAACCAAUGUUGGAUGUUGUUAUAAGAAAUUCUAAUGAAAAUAUUAUGGAAAUAGCUUUUAAAAUUAUAAGUUCUAAUGGAGAUAAUGAUUAUUCGAAAGUUGAUGCCAUCAGAUUUGGGUUUCAAGCUCCCCAAGACGAAGAAAAUGUGAAAAUGGGGUUGGUGUGUAAACCAAGGGUGUUUUUGGAAUCAACUUAUGUGGGUUUAGAAAUCGAGUGAGGCUAUAUACACUCUAAAAAUUACACUAAACACCAUAAUUUUAUAAAAAAAUUUAUUUCAAUAAUAUUUAUGGUAUAAAUUAUUAUUAAGGACAUGACAAUUAUUAAUUUUUUUUGUAUGACUAUAAUUACUUCUUUUUCAGUUAUAUUAUGAUGAUAUUAAACAAGUUUACAUUGGUUGCUUGAUUUUUUCUUUUGGCCAAAAAAUACAUGUCAUUCCACAAUACCAGAGUAACAUGGACAAUUAUUCAGACUCUUACAAACUAGUCUGCAACUGAGGCAUUACAACCCAGCAAACAUUUUUGCGACAUAAAAAUGUUCAGACAAAUCCAGAUUAAAAAAAAAAGGGCUUAAUUUACCAUCCUCUUUUGACAAACUUUGAAUUUUCUGACAUUCAAUUGGAGGUGGAAGUGGCAUCAUAGUUGUACUGAAGAAGAUCGUCAUAAGGGUCCCAGGCACCUACUCUGAAUCAUUCUUUCUUGUCCCUCUCUUUCAAGUCCUCCAUCAACCUCAAAAUCAUAUUCUCAGCAAUUAAAAAUUUCAUCUUCACUUCUCUUCUUGAUUCUAAGCUCAGAACUAUGAAGCGCAAGCUGCGUCUUUUAUUUAGCUAAAUGAUAUAUUGGUUAAUUGAUUUAUUUGUUCGGAUUAUAAUGUUUAUUUCUCACGAUCUUUUCAUUGGUGAAAUUUUUUGAUGGAUUUUUUUAGUUGCUCCUUUAUCAUUCUUCAUUUAUUGGAGAAAUAUAUUAUACAACCAAAUAAUUAAAUUUUAAUGAUAAAAGAGUGUUUAGAGAAAUAUUUUGAAUAUGUAAGGCGUUUUCAUGAGUGUGUUAGAGUAAAUUAAUUUAAAAAGGAUUAAAUGAGUACAUUUUUGGUACUUUAAGGAAUGUACAAAAUAUAGUUCAUUUUUUUAAAUUAAUAAAUAAGUGUAUAUAGUAAUAAAACUUUGAGAAUAAUUUUUAGACUACAAAUAACUCUGCCCUUAGAAAUAAUAUUAUUUUUUGAAUGAUUUAGUGGGCAUAUUGAAUAAAGAUUUUUAUGAGGGCUUUCAAAGGUGCGAUAGUUCUACUCAUGACUCAUUUUUCUGCUAUUAGGAUUUACUCUUUGUUUCGUACUUUCAUUUGAGUGGAGCUCUCUCUGUCUCUCUCUCUCUCUCUUUGGAAAUGGAAAGCUUCAAUCAAUCACUUCAAGGAAAAAGACUUACAUGAGUUGAAAUUUCCUCCAGCCAAAUUACACGGCCCGAAUUGUUAACAUCAUAUUUAUCUAAUUUAUGAGCGGUCUCACUACUACUGCUCAGUAUAAGAUUGAUUUUGAAGUGGUCUUUCACAACCAUACAAUUUCGAAUCUCGAAAAUUAACCAUGAUAUUUCUUUCAUACUUCUUUCAAAACCUUUCGCCAAGUUUAAAAUAGUCUUCGAGUCUGAUUCAACAAUUAAUGGCAUUAAACCAAAGUCUAUUGCCAUUUUUAUUCUAAAAUUCAUAUCUUCAGCUUUAGCAUAUUCAACGUCCCCAUGAAAAUCUAUAUUCUGAAUUCCUACACUCCAAAAUCCUUAUAAAGCUUGUUUUAAUUUUUAUUUAUCAAAGUACCUUGGUUUAAUUUAUAAAAUACUAAUCCAUAAAUUAAAAUUAAUAAUCUUCUCAUUAAAUUUCACCUUAAAAAGAUUAUAAAUUAUUAAAAGUUUCUAAAAAUUAUAUAUAUAUAUAUAUAUAUAUAUAUGAAAUGAGGUGGGUGGAAAAAUGUUAAAAGAAUAAUUUUAUUUAAGUAUUAAUUAAAUUUUCAAUCAAAAUAAAAAUGGAAUUAAUUUAUCUUUAAUUAUUUAAAUAAUUUUAAUUAAAGAGUUAUAAGGAAUUUAAAGGAGGGUCUUAUAGGGGGUGUCAAAAGGCUGCGAUCUAAUGCUUCCGUUCAUCACAAUCUGCUACUGCGAUUGAUCGCGAUCUGCAGCCGUGGUCGCGCUCGUCCUGUCGCCGUUUGUCGUCGCGAUCUGUUACCUUCGGUGAAGAGGAGCACAAUGUUUGUUUUGGGAAUUAUAAUUUUAUAUUUUAAAUUAUUAAUUUCUUAUAUUGUUUGGCCACUGAUUGUACAUUAAAAUUAUAUAGAUUGGUGUUUGUAUUAUUUCAUUGUUUGCUUAUUUGUUAUUAAUGUUAUUAUUGUUUAUUAUUAUUAUUAUUAUUAUUAUUGUAGUAUUAGUAGUUGUUAUUUAAUUUCAUUAUUAUCAUUAAUUAUUACUAUUAUUUAUUUAUAAUGUUAUUAUUAAAUUUAUUAUUAUUAUCAUUAAUACCAAAGGACAACUAUUAUUAUUAUUAUUAUUAUUAUUAACAACUAAGGGCGUUUUAGUAACUUAAAACAACUUAACAUAUUCCGAUUCCGAUUCUUAGAUAAAGUAAACACAUCAAUGGGGUUUUAACUCAUUCCGAUUCCAAUUCCGAUUGCUACAGUUUAAGUAAACAACUUAUUUUGAUUCUCAUUCCUCAUUUUCAUUCCGAUUCUAACCCAUUCCGAUUACUGACAAGUAAACGCAUUAUAAAGGAAAGGAAAAAAAAUUAAUUAUUUUUUUUACCAAAUAUAAUUAUAACAAAUUAACUAAAUAUUUACUAAGAGUUCAGCAUCUGAGUUCCCAAUCCAUAAAUAUGCCAGCAUUUUAAAACAAACAAGACUUAAGCGACAAAUACAAUUUUGUCGACGAGUAUAAAGGUCGCAUUAUAAGCCAAAGGCGAGCAGUUAAGAGAAGAUAAAAUUUUACCGUAUUAAACUUGUAAUUGUGGAUGCCUGGCCUGGUGUUAAAAAGGAUUUAGAGCCACAAAAAGUUUUUGACCAAACCAAAAAGAAGUAGCAAAGCAAAAAAAGGAUAAUAGCAAAGCAAUAAAUCUACAAGUCAUCACAAUCAUGCAACUCUAUAGCAAGAAAAAAAGAAAAAGAAAAAGGAAAUACAUAUUCAAACAUAUUAAUAAUAAGGAUCCUCCCAAAGUACGGCACAGGAAAAGAAAGCAUUUUGGGUGGCUUGUUCCUCCCAUUGUAGCUCUUCCCACCAUUUUUUCGUUCCCUCGAUGACAACUCGACGUCCCUUCGCGCUGCUGGAAUUGAGUGGGAGCUUCUUCAGCUGUCGGCAAUGAAAUACUUGAAUUUUCUUCAGCUUUGGAAAGGGCAGGGGAUUCGGGUAAACGCUCUUUAAAUUUGUUCCCCGCCACAUGGUUAGAUAUUCGAGUCGUGCGAAAAAGUUAUGCUCUGACCUGAUUAUCUCUGAAAUAUCACUCAAUUUAUCAACACUGAUUAUUUCUUCCAUAGUAAAACCCUGCAUAUUUAGCUGCUCGAGGUUUUGAACAAAAACAAGCCACGUUAAGUCCUUCCCUCUGCAAGACCUUAGGACAACUGUGUUAAGACUGCGGAAACCAUUUCGAAAAAGUUUCUUUACCUCUUCUGUGCUGUCAAUCUUCAUCUCUUCCAACUUAGAGGAUUCAAGUUCUAACUCCUGAAGAUUCUCCAUGUAUGCCAGAUGUAAGACAUUGAACGGUGGCCUUGUAUACGUGCCACAUUCAACCCAUACAGAUUGAGUGAUGCUCACCAGCUUUGGAUAUUUCAAAAACUUUUGGACAGCAAGUGAACUUCGGAAGGACCAGCUUAAAACAUUUAAAUGCUUCAAACCCAGCAAUUCCUUCAUCAAAGGUUCAGCAUCAUCACAUAGAACGUUACCUUCUUCUUCUUCUAUUACGCUCCAGCGACCGCGCGAAAGCAACCUGAGUACCUCCAACUUUGAAAAGCCAGAUAUCAACUGAGGUGGAAUUAUAGACAAAAACCGUGUAUGGUCCAAGUUCAAAUAUCUCAGCUUCUCCAAUGCCUUCAGCUCUUGCGGCAACCCAGUUAUAUUAGUCCGUGAUAGAUCAAGAUGAUGCAAUGAAACCAAAUUUGAAAUCCCUGAUGGUAGUUUACUUCGGGAAAGAUUUAUUCGUAGACUUAAUACUCUAAGAGAAGACAUCGAUUGAAAGAAGCCAUCAGUAAUCUCCUCAAUCCAAGUUCCAUCCAGAAGUAAAGUGACGAGACGUGGACACGUGGGAAUUUCCGAUAGGCUUUGAAUUCUAGUUUUCAUCAGAGAUAUCCGAUUGGCACCUUCCCAUUCUUCAACCUUUGGUGCUUCGGUCAGUUUAACUCCAGCGCGAACCAGAAAGUUCUGCUCCUCCUUGUCUACCGUGCACGCUAUCCAUAAUGACAUCUCACGAAUCAUAUCGUGCAUCUUUACAUGAUCAUCGCCUUCUUCCUCCAAUAAGCAUGCUUGAAGAAGGUCAUCAAUAAAAUCGCAUCCAUCAUCAAAAUCACACACAAAUCCUUCACUAAUCCAGUAAUCAAUCAAUUCCCUUCUAGGAAUUUCGUAGUCUUCAGGAUAUAAGCAACAAUACAGGAGACAGGAACGAAGUUCAUCCGUAGACAAACUAUCAUAGCUGAACUUUAAACGCGAAAACACCUCUUCUUUCAUACCUGAGAAUUUAGAAGCUGAUGUUGUCAUUUUGUGAAUUGCACGUUUCCAAUCUCCAACUUUCCUUUGGCUUUUCAUGGCUCGACCCACUGUUUUAAGCGCUAGCGGCAACCCACCACACUCUCUUGCCAGGGUUUCGGCUAGCUCUGGAAUACUGGUAUGACUGUCAAGAGUGGAUCUGUCGACCAUCUCCUGAAAUAAGUCCCAGGCUUUAUCAUGCGCCAAACUAUACACUUCCACCUUUUCAGCGUCCAUUUGAUCGCAAACACCAGCUGAACGAGUUGUCAAGACUACUUUGGACCCAUCAUUUAGUUUUUGAAGAGGGACACCCAAUUGUGUUAAAUCAAUGCGUUCCCAUAUAUCAUCCAAUAACAACACAAACUUCUUUCCGCUUAAAAUUCUAGCGAUGUCCGCAGCCUUGUCUCGAGGACUUUUUUUCUCCCAGCUUUGGUCUUCUGAAAAGCCAAUCCUUUUUCCAAUGUCAUCUUGAAGUGUUGACACAGCCGCCCAGAUAACAACAUCAAACAUAUGCUGUUGAUAGCGGAAGUUGUUGUUGACUUGUUUUAAAAGGGUAGUUUUGCCGACUCCCCCUAUACCAUACAAGCCGAUAAUUCCCCUGUUCUUUUCCUGAUCAGUGAUACAUCUCCAAACUUGAUCAAGUAAUAGUUUUUGACCAACAACUGUGUGAUCAAGAGGUAAUUCAAUUGCUGCACCAUCUGGCGCCUUCUCAACAACGACUUCAAUUUUUUCUCCGUCUUUCUUUAAAUUGAUCACUCGAUCCGUCAACUCGACCACCUGAGUCCCGUAAUUGUAGCUUGAAACGAAGUUUUUGGAACAGAGGCCUCCAAGGCACAAUCUAUCCAUUUCUUGAGCUCUAACUCGUUCGAGCUCGGUAAAUUCAGUUUCCAGUUUUUGCACAUCUUCAAGCCACCCUGCGACCUGGUUCGUUCGUCUGGUUCGAGGUCGCUGUUCUUCGACCUCAACCUUGGUCUUCAGAUCGUCCCUUGCUCGAGUCAAUUUGUGCAAUUCAGUCUCCAAGACCCGAAGAUUUUUUUCGAGACCCCAUACAUAUUUUGCUUGUUCACCAACGCAGUUUGAAGUUCGAUCAAAUAAGUCUGCUGGUAAGAAGGUUGAGAUUAGGUUACCCAUUGUCGUUGACGAAAAGAGGAAGAGAAGCAAUGAGUACAAUGAAAAGAAUUAUGCUGCUUUGGAGAGGGUUAU